GACGAACGCUGGCGGCGUGCCUAAUACAUGCAAGUAGAACGCUGAAGGAGGAGCUUGCUUCUCUGGAUGAGUUGCGAACGGGUGAGUAACGCGUAGGUAACCUGCCUGGUAGCGGGGGAUAACUAUUGGAAACGAUAGCUAAUACCGCAUAAUAGUAGAUGUCGCAUGACAUUUGCUUAAAAGGUGCAAUUGCAUCACUACCAGAUGGACCUGCGUUGUAUUAGCUAGUUGGUGAGGUAACGGCUCACCAAGGCAACGAUACAUAGCCGACCUGAGAGGGUGAUCGGCCACACUGGGACUGAGACACGGCCCAUACUCCUACGGGAGGCAGCAGUAGGGAAUCUUCGGCAAUGGACGGAAGUCUGACCGAGCAACGCCGCGUGAGUGAAGAAGGUUUUCGGAUCGUAAAGCUCUGUUGUAAGAGAAGAACGGGUGUGAGAGUGGAAAGUUCACACUGUGACGGUAUCUUACCAGAAAGGUACGGCUAACUACGUG
rnacentral:rRNA from 1 species